rnacentral:rRNA from 1 species
UGAGAGGCCUUCGGGUCGUAAAACUCUGUUAUAAGAGAAGAACAAAUUGUAGAGUAACUGCUACAGUCUUGACGGUAUCUUAUCAGAAAGCCACGGCUAACUACGUGCCAGCAGCCGCGGUAAUACGUAGGUGGCAAGCGUUGUCCGGAUUUAUUGGGCGUAAAGGGAGCGCAGGUGGUUUCUUAAGUCUGAUGUGAAAGCCCACGGCUUAACCGUGGAGGGUCAUUGGAAACUGGGAAACUUGAGUACAGAAGAGGAAUGUGGAACUCCAUGUGUAGCGGUGGAAUAAA